GUUAUGCUGUGGAAAAUACGUUAUGAGAGACUGUCGGAUCCGUGUGUGCACCCACAUUGCCAAGGAUAACAGGCGCUCUGGCUCCUCGCCAAGGACGCACGCGCUGACAGCCGCCACUGAUGCUGGUGAUAAUACAGAUAGUCGAGAUGAAACGGGACAGGUCCUGGCGAGAUCCUCAUUCUUUGAAACAGCCAGGCUUCCAUCAGCUUCAUAUUUUAGCUGAAAAAAAGGACACGAUGAUGAACUGACAGAUGAGAUUAUGAGCUGUAAUGGAGGGGGAGGUGGAGACUGCUGAGACAAGGAGAAAUGGCCUGCUGUGAGGAUGGCAGAUUUGAUGGCUAGUCGAUACAGAGUUUCUCCCUGUCUAUUCGCAGAUGAAAAGAAAGUCACACAAGUUUUGAACAACAUAAGGCAGUUCUUAUGUCAAGGCUCAGGAUUUACCCAGCACUUUUGUUCUGUCCAUCCUCUCCUCUGCUCUCUUUCCUGGCCCCAGCAUCGAUCUCUGUCAGUAUCCAAUGUCAAAGACACAUUCAGAGAUGCUUUUCCUCUCUCGUUAAUAAUUCACAUUGCCUGAAUCAUCAAUAAUAAUUCUCACCAAGCAAUCAUUCAGCUUUACCACCAUUCACCCCGGGUAUCCUUCUCUUCCUCUUUGUUGGUUCUCUCAGUUUUCUUAGAUCACAGUUGCCUUUUUUCUUUAGGUCAACAUUACUGAUGAAAAAUUACUUUCUUGAUGCAUGAUUUUGUUUUACUGUUAGCCAUUUAUUACUGCUUAUUACACUGAUAUGUGAAUACUUGAUUCUGAUCAAGGUAUGUUAUUCACAGAUAACAACCUAUUAAAUUGACACUGGUCCAUCUGAGUAUUUCAAAUCAUCUUGUUGUUAGUGAAUAUUCAUAAACAUAUGCAUACAGUAUCUGUCACUCUGCCGUUUUUAACUGUUUGCCACCAUCUUGUGACUGAAUAAUAUUAAUAAGCAGAAUAGUGUAGGCUGAAUCCAGCCAUUUGUUAUAGAUCAGUUUUCUUUUUGCAUGCUUUGUUUAAUUAAAAAGUCAGUAAAAUAUACAGCUCAGAUCAAUGUUUUGUGUCCAGUUGUUUAGUUUUGGGGAAAGUAGCCAUGUAAUGAGUGAGAUACUGCACAUUCAGCUGGUUGUUUUCACAGAAUAAAUCCCUUCAUUCUUAUAAGAGCCUGGUAAGACUGUCAGUCGUUAUUCUGCAUUAACAUCUGACUGAAUACAUAUUGGGGGCAGCACGGUCGCCUAACAGCAAGAAGGUUGCUGGUUCGAGUCCCUGCUGGACCACUAAGCAUUUCUAUGUUCCCCCCGUGUUCGCGUGGGUUUCCUCCGUGUACUCCAGUUUCCCCCACUAUCAAGGAGAGCACUAUAAAUAUUCAUGGUUCAUCCUGCUGGAUGUAGCCAUCAGAAGAUGGGUACACUGUGGUGAUAAAGGGAUGGAUGUGCCAAGAAAAUGUCCCCCACACCGUUACGCCACCAACACCAGCCUGAACCAUUGAUACAAGGCGGGAUGGAUCCAUGCUUUCAUGUUGUUGAUGCCAAAUUCAACCAUCCGCAUGUCACAGCAGAAAUCGAGACUCAUCAGACCAGACAAAGUUUUUCCAAUCUUCUAUUGUCCAAUUUGGUGAGCCUGUGGAAAUUGUAUCCUCUGUUUCCUUUUAUGUUCCUUUCCUGCUGUAGCCCAUCUGCCUCAAGGUUCAACGUGUUCUGCAUAACUCUGUUGUAACGAAUGGUUAUUUGAGUUACUGUUGCCUUUCUAUCAGCUGGAACCGAAUGUUCCAUUCUCCUCUGACCUCUGGCAUCAACAAGGCAUUUGCGCCCACAGAACUGCCGCUCACUGGAUAAUUUCUCUUUUUCGGACCAUACUUUGUUAACCCUAGAGAUGGUUGUGUGUGAAAAUCCCAGUAGAUCAGCAGUUUCUGAAAUACUUAAACCAACAACCAACAAUCAUGCCACAUUCAAAG